GAUGAACGCUAGCUACAGGCUUAACACAUGCAAGUCGAGGGGUAACAAGAGAAAAGCUUGCUUUUUUUGUUGACGACCGGCGCACGGGUGAGUAACGCGUAUCCAACCUGCCUAUAACUAGGGAAUAACCCUGCGAAAGUAAGACUAAUACCCUAUGAUUUCCUUUGAUGGCAUCAGAUUAGGAAUAAAGAUUUAUCGGUUAUAGAUGGGGAUGCGUCUGAUUAGCUUGUUGGCGGGGUAACGGCCCACCAAGGCAACGAUCAGUAGGGGUUCUGAGAGGAAGGUCCCCCACAUUGGAACUGAGACACGGUCCAAACUCCUACGGGAGGCAGCAGUGAGGAAUAUUGGUCAAUGGGCGGAAGCCUGAACCAGCCAAGUAGCGUGCAGGAUGACGGCCCUAUGGGUUGUAAACUGCUUUUAUACAGGAAUAAAGUUAGCCACGUGUGGUUAUUUGUAGGUACUGUAUGAAUAAGGACCGGCUAAUUCCGUGCCAGCAGCCGCCGCUG
rnacentral:rRNA from 1 species